rfam:Brassica napus, WGS project CCCW01000000 data, contig: 4430
UCGCAGGAGCCUCCCGGGCUAGUCUGAAAAUAAUAAUUUGAGGAAUUAAGCCCCAAAGCUCCUGCUAGAUUGGUGACAUUCGUGUUGCAGUUCUGUCUAAAUCUUUCCUGGCUUAACUGUGUCAAAGCAAUGUCUAGAUUU